UACGGGAGGGGCGAGGAUUACUCAUCAUGAUUGGGUGUAAAGGGUUCGUAGACGGUAUUUAUAGAUUUUUUGUGAAAGGCAAGGAUAGUCUCUUUGAAAGUGCAAUUUAUAUUAUGUUUACUUAGGAUAUAUCAGAGGUUAACAGAAUUUUUCGGAUAAUACCAGGUCUAAUUGUAAACCGCGAAGGAAUGCCAUGGGCGAAGGCGGUUAACUGGGAUAUAUCGACGUUGAGGAACGAAAGCGUGGGUAGCAAACAGG
rnacentral:rRNA from 1 species